rnacentral:rRNA from 1 species
AGUAACGGCGAGUGAAGAGGGACAAGCCCAAAUUUGUAAUCUGGCUCUUUCAGAGUCCGAGUUGUAGUUUUGAGAUCUGUUAUCUGUGCUGGACCAUUUCUAAGUCUGCUGAAAAGCAGCAUCAUGGAGGGUGAUAAUCCCGUAUAUGAUAUGGACUACCAGGGCAAUAUGAUGCAGAUUCUAAGAGUCGAGUUGUUUGGGAAUGCAGCUCAAAGUGGGUGGUAAAUUCCAUCUAAGGCUAAAUAUAGGUGAGAGACCGAUAGCAAACAAGUACCGUGAGGGAAAGAUGAAAAGAACUUUGGAAAGAGAGUUAAAAAGUACGUGAAAUUGUUGUAAGGGAAACACUUGAAGUUAGUCUUGUACUUGUCAGUUCAUCUCUUUUAGGGUGUAUUCUGAUGAUGUGCAGAUCAACAUCAGUUUUUGGGUGUCAGAGAAGGGUUGUAGAGAUGUAGCAGCUUUGGCUGUGUUAUAAUCUACUGCUUGAUUAUGGUGCUUAAGACUGAGGAUCGCAGCAAGCCAUGUAAAAAGUGGCGGACCCUUUCACCGGGGUCUUCUUGCUGAGGAUGUUGGUAUAAUAGCUUUAAGUGACCCGUCUUGAAACACGGACCAAGGAGUCUAACGUGCUUGCGAGUAUUUGGGUGUUCAAACCCUGAUGCACAAUGAAAGUAAAUGGAAAUGGGAUCCGUAAAAGGUGCACCAUUGACCGGUCUCGAUUAUUUAUAUGAAGGUACUGAGUAAGAGCAAGUAUGUUGGGACCCGAAAGAUGGUGAACUAUGCCUGAAUAGGGUGAAGCCAGAGGAAACUCUGGUGGAAGCUCGUAGCGGUUCUGACGUGCAAAUCGAU